rnacentral:rRNA from 1 species
GACGAACGCUGGCGGCGUGCCUAAAACAUGCAAGUCGAACGGUGUAGCAAUACACAGUGGCGAACGGCGGAGUAAUACAUGAACAACGUGCCCGGAAGACUGGGAUAGUCAGGGGAAACCCUGGGUAAUACCAGAUGUGGCCGUCUCUUGGCAUCUAGAGACGAUUAAAGGGUUUUUCGCUUCCGGAGCGGUUCAUGGCCUAUCAGGUAGUUGGUGAGGUAAUGGCUCACCAAGCCGACGACGGGUAGCGGUCUGAGAGGAUGAUCCGCUCGAGUGGGACUGAGACACGGCCCACACACCUACGGGUGGCAGCAGUUGGGAAUCUUGCACAAGUGGGGGAAACCCUGAUGCAGCGACGCCGCGUGGAGGAUGAAGGAUCUAGGUCU